rnacentral:rRNA from 1 species
CCUUACGGCCAUACCACCUUAGGCACGCCCGAUCUCGUCUGAUCUCGGAAGCUAAGCAGGGUCGGGCCUGGUUAGUACCUGGAUGGGUGACCGCCUGGGAAUACCAGGGGCUGUAAGCA